UACGUAGGGUGCAAGCGUUGUCCGGAAUUAUUGGGCGUAAAGAGCUCGUAGGCGGUUUGUCGCGUCGGAUGUGAAAACCCGGGGCUCAACCCCGGGCCUGCAUUCGAUACGGGCAGACUAGAGUUCGGUAGGGGAGUCUGGAAUUCCUGGUGUAGCGGUGAAAUGCGCAGAUAUCAGGAGGAACACCGGUGGCGAAGGCGGGACUCUGGGCCGUAACUGACGCUGAGGAGCGAAAGCGUGGGGAGCGAACAGG
rnacentral:rRNA from 1 species